rnacentral:misc_RNA from 1 species
AGAUGUUACACGUCUAAAAAGUAUUUAAAAUUUACCAAAUUAUUCCCAUUUGUACAUUUUGUACACAAUAAGUCAAGUCCAUAUAUAUAUAUAUAAACUUCUUGUUACAUCAAUACAGGACAAGAUUUUCAUAAAUGGGAACCCAUCUCGGUCAUUCCUUUCCAAAUAAUUUGCAGCACUAAUCCAGUUCAGGAGCACAAAUGGAGAUGAGGGAGGGAAGAAACACCAGGAAUGAAUAAAAUGCAUAAUGUUUUCAGAGCUGACUAAAUAGGGUUUUUGAGAGAGUGAUAUACAACAACAAUGCACAAUGAAAUUGCAUUUUGAAGAAAUUAAGAAAUGUAUGAGCGGCCGUACAAUCAUUUUCAUAGCAACUAUGAUGAACUGCAUGAGUUGAUAAGCAGAAAUGUCUAGGAAGUAUGAUCAAUUUUACCAUGGAAUUUCCUGGCCAUCCCAUGCGAAGAACUUGUCAUUAUCAUGGCUCUUUGCAUUGUUGAUGAUGUUUAAGAGUUUUUGUACCGAGUACUCUUUGGUGAAAAGCUUGCCUUCAGGAACAUUUCUCUGAAAUGGCCUAGAGAGGUCAGUGUCCACUAUGCCUGGGUGCAGAAGAAUGCAUACUAUUGGAUCUUUCUUUUGUUCAAACUCCACAGACACAGUCUUUGUCACUGCCAGCAAUAGCUGUAUUAUGGUAAGUGAAAGGCAAGUAAUGAAAUUUCUAACUUGAUAAAAUUUGAGUUUUUUUUUAUAUAAAUUAUGUCUAUAACAGAUGAGCUAAUAUAAGAAAAUAGGAACAUUGGAUCGUACUUAUAAGCGAACUCGGCAAGACCAAUACCAACCAAAUUAAGGUUCUAUGGCUGCAUGGGUACCCGAAAGUCAUAGGUCAACUGGUAUCAAAGGACUAAUAACAACCAAAACUGAUAUUACACAUUUAUAUAGGUAUGUGGACAAUAGAUACCCAGUUCCUCUUGCAGUCAUUCAUUCUCCUCAUGUAAUUUUUUUUCUUUGUAUCUUCAAAAGGGCUAUAUAUUAUUAUUGGUAAUUGAACACAUGCAAGCUGUACCACAAUAUGGAAUGACUACUGAAUUUGUCAACCGGUAAUCAAAAACUUCUAUUUGUUAUUAUUUUUAAUACUACUUCUAGCAUCGAACAGGCACAAAGACAGACUUACGGAGCUUGCUUUUCAGGAAUCAGAUACCUUUUCAUAGGCUUUAUCUACCUUGUGAACUGAAUGGUCCGAGUACAGCAAACUAUCAUACUCCAUCAGCAAGAAUUAUCUCACGUUUAACCUAUGUAGAUUUUGCCAUAUUAAACUGAAAAGAUCAUUGGAAGUUGACAUAAUUACACAUUCCUUGCCAAGAUGAAAAUUAAACACAUGUCAAAACUUACAUAAUUAUGGUUCUCUGCAUGCAGUCUCAACGAAAAUAUCCUUAUGAUUAGAAAGAACCAACCACAAAUGGCAUUAUAACAUUCCAUUGUUUGUUGGAAGUGGUCCGGAAACACGAGACAUUUAGAUAUUAAAGUCGUAGAUCAUGAAGCUUAGAGUUAUUGGAAGCCUAGAGAAAAGUCACACACUGAUUUAAGGCAGCCUUUGAAGAGCGAUAAGAGUGCCAACCUCCUAGGCGAUUAUCUCCAAUGGAUCCCACCCUAGCACUUAAAUUGGCCACCACUGCAACAUCCCUCUCUGUCCCUGAGCCUCUCCCAGCUUUCAAAAGAGGCCACAUAUGCUGCAAAUGGCAAAUAAUAAUAGUAAUAUUUAAGCUAAAGUGAACCAUUAAACAGUAAAAAUGCAAUCAAGAAACCCCCUCUUUGCAUCAUAACUUUGUAAAAUAAGAUUUCCAACUCUUUUAUUCAUUGUGUGAAUACAAAUGUUGCUUUUGAAGAUAUCUCUGUUAAGAACCCACUUGAUGUACAAAGUAAUUGUUUCUUGAAAAUUCACAAUAAUGUGUACUGUCAACAAAAUAAUAAAACAAAAGCUUAUACUGGUACUCUUCUUAAUGCACGACCCAUGCACUUUUAUUCCCUGGACCAAUUAAAAGUUGGGUUGCCCAGAAGUCAAGAAAGAAGGAAUGGAAUCACUGGCGUCUGCAGUUCACAAUUCUUGUUCCCACAUUUUGCUAUAUAUGUAUAUAUAUAUAAGAAAAUGGCAAAAUCUUUGUAAUUUCCAAACCAAUAUAUUUCACCACUCAUAAAAUGCUACUUUUAUUGCAAAAGCAACUAUGGCGAAACAAAAACAGAAACUGGGUUCUUCACAAACCAUUCCAUGGAGUAUGAAUUCCAUUAUUCAAGUUACCAACUAAAAGCCGUCUCCGCAUACCCUGAUUACUAGAAUUGGACCCACAGCAUUGACCUCAUAGGCAAGCAUUAAUGAUGAUUUCUCCACUCUGUUCAAGGUUGUUUCUGCACUGGUUGCAACAUAUUUGGUAUUGAAAGGAUGCCUGAGGCAUUAAUGAGACGGUUCAAAGAACCGUAAUUUUCUCUUAUGGACAUUGCAGACGCCUGCCAUAUGACAUAAAUGUCAGGUGACUUGAACAAGAAUGACAGGCUGAAGUAUCUUAUUCUUGCUGUCCUUGUAUGGACAGUUAAUAAUAAUUAACAAACUGAAAUAAAUUAAAGGACACUAGAAAAUAAACCAAAAUAAUUGAUACACCUUAUCAUACCUUGAAGAAGUUAAAAGGAAAUAAACAAAAAUUUAUAACUUAAACCUUUCUGACCCUAAAGUGGUAGUAAGAUCCGAGUUCCUCCUCUGUUUUACUAUUAAGUAAGCUCAAUGCUGUUGGAGUAAAUUCAUCUAGGUAAGAUGUGGAAAACCACAACUAAGGUAAACUGAUGACUAAGAAUGGAAAUAGAGGUGAAUUUUCUUCUAGUCUAGACAAAAGCAAGAGGUAAGAAUAGAAAGAAGCAUUAACCUCUAUGGAACUUUCAAUGGUCAAGUCCAACUGUAAAAUGUUGAGGCGCUUAGG